UUAUGCCCUUGGCUCCAGCACAUUUCCUAGUCGGUCGCAGGCUAACGAGCUUGCCUCCCUUCCGAGAGACCACCGAAAUCAAAUCGUCAGCACAGACACUAACACGCCUAUGGAAGAGACGCGCCAGGCUUGUUGACUCAUUCUGGAAACGGUGGAGACGCGAAUACCUACUGCAGCUUCGCUCAGCGCAUGUUACAAAGCCAGGCAGAGGAAGAGGCAUCGACUUUUCCAGGAAGAGAUGGCCGAAUACGUGCUUGCAAGAUCCUUCUCCCGAACCAAAGCGAACUGCGACGACCCGUACAAGCCUUGUACCCACUCGAGCUCAGUGAGGCGCCAGCCUGUGCUAACAAUGGUGGCCGGGAAUGAGCCGGCGCUCAUUGCGGGGGAGGAUGUUGAAAGUCGCAAACGAGCAGCUAACAUUGUUGCACCUGUGGUUGGGGGACCGACGACACAAGAGAAAGAGGGAGCCGGCGAACGGACGAGAGGCGCCCCACUGCAGCACGUGCCAGCCGGCGCAGCUACCAACAACCUGAUCCGUUCCACCGCCUUUUCGGCGAACCGCCCAUUCAGUGCGAGGCGCGGGCGCCCCCGACAAGGACGAAGGCAUCGGUGCGGCCAAAAGAGAACGUGGAGUGUUUCUUCUCACUUUCCCUUCUCCUUUCUUCAAUAUCUUUUGUAAAUAAACCAGUCUCGAAACGGA